rnacentral:rRNA from 1 species
CCUACGGGAGGCAGCAGUGGGGAAUAUUGGGCAAUGGGCGAAAGCCUGACCCAGCAACGCCGCGUGAAGGAAGAAGGCUUUCGGGUUGUAAACUUCUUUUGACAGGGAAGAGCAGAAGACGGUACCUGUCGAAUAAGCCACGGCUAACUACGUGCCAGCAGCCGCGGUAAUACGGAGGUGGCAAGCGUUGUCCGGAUUUACUUGGUGGAAAGGGCGUGUAGCCGGGCUGGCAAGUCAGAUGUGAAAUCCGGGGGCUCAACCCCCGAACUGCAUUUGAAACUGUCGGUCUUGAGUAUCGGAGAGGCAGGCGGAAUUCCUGGUGUAGCGGUGAAAUGCGUAGAUAUUAGGAGGAACACCAGUGGCGAAGGCGGCCUGCUGGACGAAAACUGACGGUGAGGCGCGAAAGCGUGGGGAGCAAACAGGAUUAGAUACCCUUGUAGUC